UACUAGAGUAGCACUCGCAUAUCAAUAAGCGGAGGAAAAGAAACUAACAAGGAUUCCCCUAGUAACGGCGAGUGAAGCGGGAAGAGCUCAAAUUUGAAAUCUUAAAGGGUUUCCCUUUACGAAUUGUAGUUUAAAGAAGUGUUUUCUGUUGAGGUUUUGGUAAAAGUUCUUUGGAAUAGGACAUCAUAGAGGGUGAGAAUCCCGUAUUUGACCUUUACUUUCAACUUUGUGAUACACUUUCAAAGAGUCGGAUUGUUUGGGAAUGCAGUCCAAAAUGGGUGGUAAAUUUCAUCUAAAGCUAAAUAUUGGCGAGAGACCGAUAGCGAACAAGUACCGUGAGGGAAAGAUGAAAAGAACUUUGAAAAGAGAGUUAAACAGUACGUGAAAUUGUCAAAAGGGAAGCGUUUGACACCAGUGUUGUUUUUCUGAAAAUCAAUUAAAGAACUGUUUAUGCUAAGUUGUUUAGACUUUAUCAGCUAACUGUUUAGUUUUGAGCUUUUCUUUAAUGCACUUUUCAGUUAACAAGUCAACAUCAAUUUCUUUUGCUGUAAAAAAGCUUGAGGAAGGUGGCUUGAGAUUCGUCUUCAGUGUUUAUAGCCUCUUGCCUAUGCAGUCGGAGAGAUUGAGGUCUGCAGCGUAGAUCCUUCGGGGCUAAAUGCAUUUGUGCUAAGUUAUAGCAUUUUAUAGACAACUUGUUGACUAUGAUUUGUCUUGUAGCUUACUCGCUUAUGUUAUUUUACCUACGCUUAGGAUGUUGAGCGCAUGUCUCUCUCU
rnacentral:rRNA from 1 species